rnacentral:rRNA from 1 species
UACGGAGGGUGCAAGCGUUAUCCGGAUUUACUGGGUUUAAAGGGUGCGUAGGUGGGUAGGUAAGUCAGUGGUGAAAUCUUCGAGCUUAACUCGGAAACUGCCAUUGAUGCUAUUUAUCUUGAAUACUUUGGAGGUAAGCGGAAUAUGUCAUGUAGCGGUGAAAUGCUUAGAUAUCUGGAGGAACACCGGUGGCGAAGGCGGCAUCCUGGACCGGUAUUGACGCUGAGGCGCGAAAGCCAGGGGAGCAAACGGG